rnacentral:rRNA from 1 species
AGAGUUUGAUCCUGGCUCAGAUUGAACGCUGGCGGCAUGCCUUACACAUGCAAGUCGAACGGUAACGCGGGGCAACCUGGCGACGAGUGGCGAACGGGUGAGUAAUAUAUCGGAACGUGCCCAGUAGUGGGGGAUAGCCCGGCGAAAGCCGGAUUAAUACCGCAUACGACCUACGGGUGAAAGCGGGGGAUCGCAAGACCUCGCGCUAUUGGAGCGGCCGAUAUCAGAUUAGGUAGUUGGUGGGGUAAAAAGCCUACCAAGCCAACGAUCUGUAGCUGGUCUGAGAGGACGACCAGCCACACUGGGACUGAGACACGGCCCAGACUCCUACGGGAGGCAGCAGUGGGGAAUUUUGGACAAUGGGCGAAAGCCUGAUCCAGCAAUGCCGCGUGAGUGAUGAAGGCCUUAGGGUUGUAAAGCUCUUUUACCCGGGAUGAUAAUGACAGUACCGGGAGAAUAAGCUCCGGCUAACUCCGUG